GUGAAAGACAAAAGUUUAAGACAAAACUAAAGGAUUUCUAAUUCAAGGACAGCAAGAGGUCAUUAGAAAAGUGAAUGAGACCAACCACUUUAUUGUCCUUAUAACAAUUAUGGAUUUUCUAAUGUUAGGCAACUAGGUGGUUGUAGAAUUUCUACAUUAAUAGAACAUCACUAUGCAAUAAUGAUCAUGGCUUCUAUUUUCCCCCAACAAGAUUGUCAUUGAAAUAAUGAAAGCUUAUGAAAGAAUAGAAAGGAAAUUUUAUAGAAGAAGAAAAUAGGACCCAUGACAGAGCACUGGGGGAUUUCCAUGGUUAAUGGGUAUGAUAGAGGUGAAGAUCGAGCAAAGGAGACAGAAAAAAAGUUCAGACAUGCAGAAGAACUGGAAGAGAGCUGUUUCAUGAAAACCUAUAGAGAAGAGAGCAUCCAGGAGGAGAGUAAUUGACAAUUUUAAAGGCUAUAGAGAGGUCAAGAGAAUUGAAGAUCAAGAAAAGGCUGUGAGAUUUGCCAAUUAAGAUAUCAUCCCUAGCUUUGGAGAGAGCAGUUUUAUUUGAAUAAUGAGGUCAGAAGUUAGAGCAAAGGGAGUUAAGAAGAAAGGAAAGAAAAUAUUGGCACCUGUUAAAGAUGAUUUUUUCAAACGAGUUUAUUAAGAAAUAGAAGAAGAGGUAGAUAAAGCAAUGAAAAGCACAUAUUCUCUCCUUUUAUCUCUCUCUUUCCACCUUCUGGAGAUGGCAAGUAAUAUGAUAUACAUAAGUGAUGGUGAAUCUUUUAGAAAGGUGGGAGAUGUCCUCAGGUGCACAUGGAGAAGAGGAGGGCAGCAGCCUAUGCUCAGAAGACCUGACGUGGGCAAAACAUUGUAAAAACAUAGAGGAAAGUGAAAGGAAGUGGAUUAAAUAAUUUACAAUUUAUUUCCUUAAAGAGUAAUUAUUGAGCCUGGGACAAAUAGCACAAAAGCUAUUCAAAAAAAUCAGCACCUUAGCUAACUAAUGGCAGAGUGUAGAUGAAAGAACUCACUCAUGGUAAUCAAUUCUUAAAGACGGUUUCCAAAAUAAAAGCAUAAAAAUGGAACCUUUUAGUUUUAAC
rnacentral:lncRNA from 1 species